AUAUCGAUCUGUCUGUCUCCUCCAAAAUGUCUACCAUUGACAAAUAAUGAGACAUUGCGGACCUAAAGAAUUAAAUAAAAAAUCAACGAAACCAAUUCGAAAUGUUGCUAGAAACACGCAAAUACAAUACAAGAAAGUGCGACAAUGAGCGUUAAUAGUUCAUUUGUAAUCGAUGUGUUUAUUUGUUUAAAGUUUCGCUGUUUUCGCCUCUGUGAUCUUUAUUCAUUAGUGGAAAUUUAGAGAGGAAGAAGGAAGAAGAAAAAAAUGGUCAAUGGAACUUGAGAACGCUACCAAAUGUGAACAAUAUAUUUGAUUGUGUGUUGUAUUUUGUGGUUAUUGGAUUAAUUUUUUGGGAACCGAAAUAUGUAUAUUGUGUGUGUAAACUCAGUAUAAUAUCUAAUGUGCAUAUAAGUGUUAUAAUCGUAUAUUAUUGAAUAAUAUUGUCGUCUUUCAUUGUGCUGCUGCUUGUUUUUUUCUCUCCCCAAUUACAUGUUAUAAAGACAAAAUUUAAAUAAAAUUCAAUCAUUUUGAUUUCAAUUAAAAUUGAUGUGCACAGUAUACACAGCAGCAGAGAAUCUUUUAUCAUUGAAAUACAAAACGAACUAUAUAAUAACCAUCAAUUGUGGGAUUGCAACAUAAAAUAAAUUCGGUUAAGUGUUUUUUGUGCAGUGAAUAUAUUCUGUAAAGAAUUAUAACAAAAAAAUUGAGUUCAAUAUACUGUCCAACGCCUUCAAUUAAAACACAAAUUUAUCAGCAAUUCCCUUUUCAUUCAUAAAUUUCCUUCGUUUUUUUCGGUGGAAUCAAUUUUUCUUUUACGAAAUAUUUUUUUUGUGAUUUAUUUUGUGAUGAACUUGUUCCAUUCUGAAUUGUGUUCGUGCAAAGGGCAUAGCAAUGUAAACUAUUGUAUAUCGUACGAAUAGAGGAGGCAGUCGCAGAAACAACGACCUGACGACUUAUAUCGAUUUUAUGGAUUAUUUUCUAAUAUUUGCGUGGAAGUAAAUAAAUUUCGUAUGCCAACCAGCUAUUACAUCCGUUACAAUGGAAAGCUAUUGGAAGUUCACCGUGUCGUUGCAUUGAUUGCGUGGCAUUAUAACUUAUACGGAAAUCAUAUUAAUUGACGAGUGUAAAAUGUGUUUCCGAAAUUGCAAAGUGUUCUGAGUUCGAGAUUCAUUGAAGACACUCAUUAAAUGUGGAAUCUAUCGCGUAAGCAAAAUGUGCAAAUAAAUGUGUGCAGCUCAAUCGAUUCGCGUGACAUCAACUGAACAAAAAUAAUUGAUUUGGAAGGUUUACAUCGAAAACACGAAAAUAUUUAAACUUUCAAUUAAAUCCGUUCCAAAUCGCAACAAAAGAAAAGUAGAAAAUACAACCAGAAAAAGCCAGAAAAGGAAAUAAAAAACGAGAACAGUUUGUGCUUCAUUUUCGAAUACAAACAUGUCACUAACAUUUGGAUGUACAAGGAUAAGAUUAGAUUUUGUAGCGAUCGCUCUUUUAUCAUUUUUUAUUACAAGUGGCUGUUGUAUUAACUGGCAGGAGAAUGUGCGACCGAAACUUUAUGUUGAAUUGGGACCCGAAGAAAUUCUCAAAUUUCAAGGGAAUGACUCAGUCGUGGAUCAUUUCAAGUUGGUUCUACGUGAUGGCAACAGCUUGCUGGUUGGAGCAAGGAACAUAAUUUAUAAUUUAAGUAUAUUCGACUUGUCGGAACAGCAGAAAUUGGUUUGGUAUUCCCCCGAAGACGAUGUGAAGAUGUGCGUGGUCAAGGGCAAAGAUGAGGAAGCCUGUCAAAAUUAUGUUCGAAUUCUUGUCAUGCCAACACCAGGUCGACUUUUAGUUUGCGGUACAAACUCGUUUCGUCCAAUGUGCCAUGUAUAUCAAAUCAAUGCAAGUAACUAUACUCUUGAGACUGAAAAAUCGGGACAAGCCGUGUGUCCCUACGAUCCCCAACACAAUUCGACAGCCGUUUUUGUCGAUAACGAGCUGUACUCUGGAACGGUUGCCGAUUUCAGUGGAAGCGAUCCGAUCAUUUAUCGGGAAACACUUCAGACUGAACAAUAUGACAGCUUAAGCUUAAAUGCUCCAAAUUUUGUGAGUUCGUUUACGCAGGGGGAUUUUGUGUAUUUUUUCUUUCGAGAAACGGCGGUCGAGUUUAUAAAUUGCGGAAAAUCGGUCUUCUCAAGAGUGGCCAGAGUGUGUAAAUGGGAUAAAGGCGGACCACACAGGUUUCGAAAUCGGUGGACAAGUUUCCUGAAAACUCGCCUUAAUUGUUCGAUGCCCGGAGAUUUUCCGUUUUAUUUUAACGAAAUUCAGUCUGCCAGCAGUUUAGUGGAGGGACGAUAUGGACACACUAAUUCAAAGCUUAUUUACGGCACUUUUACGACUCCUUCCAAUUCCAUUCCUGGAUCUGCAGUGUGUGCUUUCUCAUUGCAGGACAUUGCGGACACAUUUGAAGGCAAUUUUAAAGAACAAAGUGGACUUAAUUCAAAUUGGCUUCCCGUUAACAGUGCUCAGGUACCCGAUCCGAGGCCAGGAUCAUGUCAUAACGAUUCACGAACACUACCCGAUUUGACGUUGAACUUUAUAAAAACGCAUUCGUUAAUGGAUGAAAAUGUACCUGCAUUUUUCGGUCAGCCGAUUUUAAUAAGAACCAGCACAAAUUAUCGUUUUACCCAAAUUGUAGCUGAUUCUCAAAUUAAAACGCCCGGUGGGAAAACGUAUGAUGUUAUAUUCGUCGGAACAGACCACGGGAAAAUCAUCAAGACGGUGAAUGCUGAAUCAGCCGACUCCAACAAAAAGGUCAGCUCCGUGGUCAUUGAAGAGCUAGACGUUCUAGCUAAGAGCGAACCGAUCAGAAACUUAGAAAUAGUGCGAACAAUGCAAUACGAUCAUCCCAGAGAUGGCAGUUACGACGACGGUAAAUUAAUCAUCGUCACCGAUAGUCAAGUAGUAGCGAUCCGGCUGCAUCGAUGCAAUAACGACAAGAUCACCAGCUGCAGUGAAUGUGUGGCGUUACAAGACCCAUAUUGUGCGUGGGACAAAAUAAAUGGUAAAUGUCGAUCGCAUGGUGCUCCUCGAUGGUUGGACGACACGUAUUUCUAUCAAAAUGUUCAGACCGGUCAGCAUACUGCUUGUCCGUCGGGCAAGAUAGCAUCGAAAGAUGCUAACGUUGGCGAACAGAAGGGCUAUCGCAAUGAUAUUGACAUGGAUUCACAUCGUCCGAGCAAAGAUCAGCCAAGUGGUGAAGUGAUCAAUAUUAUGCAGGACAAGAAUUUCGAUGGCAAUGGUCCACAGAUAUCGGCUGAUGUCAUCACCGCCCAGUACUCGGUCGAAACUCUGGUAAUGGCUGUCUUAGCUGGAGCCAUUUUUGCGCUCCUCGUCGGAUUUGUUACAGGAUUUUUUUGCGGUCGUCGUUGUCACAAAGACGAAGACGACAAUUUACCGUAUCCGGAUACGGAGUACGAAUAUUUUGAGCAGCGGCAAAAUAUCAACCGUAUCCAAGCUGAACCAAAAUUGCUUCCACAAGUCGAAGAAGUUACGUAUGCUGAACCGGUGUUGUUACCACAGGCAUCUAGUCAAAAUAAGAUUCAACACUCACCGAAAAGUACUCUUCGCAAGCCAAUGCAUCAUGGCAUUGGUGCCAAUGAAACUCUCUUCCAAUUUCAACCAGAUGGUUACAAUACACGUGAUACUUACCGGGGCAGGGAUAAUUUCGGAACGUUACGAUCGCACCAAGGUGAUAAUUACAGACGAGGUGACGGCUUUUCAACCACACGAAGCGUCAAAAAGGUGUAUCUUUGAGACGGGAGUGGGGCGGCUGAGACUAGUCAGGGACUCAUUAAUCAAAAUAUGGGUUUAAACACAAACACAAGAAACAGAAGUAUUGGCCGAAUGAGAAGACAGCCGCCCCGGCAUGGCAUUGUAACUCAACAUCGUUCCGAUAGUCCACAAAAUUCCAGUUCAGGUUCAUCACCAGUUAUGUCGCAUAGUAGCUCUAGCCCGGCGCCACCAAGUAGCAGUCCCAGUCCGCAAGAAAGUCCAAAAAAUUGCAGCUACAUCUAUCGUGAUUGAUUAAGGCAAAAAAAUUCCAAAUCAAUGUCGUCGAUAAAUGAGACCGGAACCAUUCCGCAUAAACUAGAUACAAUGAAACCAAAAAUGGCCUUGUCCUUAGCACGUCAAUUCAAUCAGCAAUUGACGCAUCUGAAUGAAAAGUGGAUGGAUUUCAGUGGCAUGAUUCAGCGUAACUUUCACGAUGAAAUGUAUUAUUCGAGUAUUGGGAAUAAACGACGACGAAAUUGUGAUUCAAUUGAUAUUGAUAUGCUUGUAAUGAAAUCGGUUGACUGGGAUGAUAAUGAAAGCUACUAGUAAUUUAAAUUUAUAUAGUGAAAACAAACAAACAGUAAUGAUGGAAGGGAAAGCACUAAUAAUAUAUUAUUAUUAAAUUAAAUUAUAAAAAAAAAUUAAAAAAAUUAAAAGUAAAAAAAAAACUAAAAUUAUAUUCCCCUAGUUGAAUGAACGAGAGAGAAUUCAUGAAACCGUUUUAUGGUACAGAUACAAUAUAGAGAUACUGACCCUUUUUCUAAUUGCUAAUUAUUAUUAAUUGAACUAAGUUAAAGACAAAACAGAAAAUCCUUAUCUUUAAGUUGAAAAAUCGACAGACAUUUUAAUAAAAAACAAAACAAAAAAUUAAUUAGAAAUUUAAACAAAAAGUAGAAAUGAAAUGCAUGCGUAUUUGAUUAAAAUUAUAUUGGUAUAUAAGAGCUUGUAAAUCGAACGGUAUUAUAUAGACAGCAGCAGCAGAAACAACAAAGAAAAACAAUGAUUGAAGGACAUUCGAUCCGAUGAAAAAAGUAAAUGAAAUGCGUUUAUUAUACCUAUACUAAUAUCUACUCAACUUGCAAUCAAACAUUUAUUUAGAAUAUUUUAAUGCUUGUACGAACGUUUCAGCAAUUUUUCAAACGUUUAUUGCCAAUAACAGAGUCUAUUACUACUGUCAUACAACCACCCAUUGAUUGUAAUUUAAUCUAAACUUUACUGUGAAGAUGCAUUCGCCUCAAAACACUUUCAAAUAUUCAUUCGACUCCUUUGCGUACAGUGAGACAACUAACGAAGUGUGCACAGAGUGUGCGUAAAAUGUUGUAGAAAGUGGAAUGGUUGGAAUUUAAGAAAAACAACCAAAUACAUGCAAUUCUUGCUAAUUAUUUUGAGGUGAGUGUUAUGUUGUAUUAGGUCAGAGCCAGAUUAUUAGUAGAUUUAUUUUUCGAAUUUACUCACAGAAAUUCGAUAAAUUUUCGGUAAAAUUUCGUUAAAUUUCGUUAAGUUCGUUAAAUUUACCAGUAAAUAGGUCCUGUAUUGGGUGUACUAGGUGACAAAUCGAUUCAACAAAAUAAUUGUUGGUUCUCAUACCUGAUAUUUUCACCAUUUUUUCCCGUCAUUUUUGUUAUUUAAUUUUUAAAUCGUCCGACAGAACCAAUAUUCUGGCAUCGAAUUACAAUUUUUGGUGUAUUUUUUCCCACUGAAGACUCAAGAUGCACGCACAUCAAACGAUGAAUUAAUUUCGCUCAAAAAUUAGGACAAACGAAAGAUUAAAUGAAUUGGAGUUUGAAGGUGAAGAUUUGAUUAAAAAAAUUAUUUGUUCCACUGUUAAGUAUCGAUACACAGUUCCCAGUGAAAUCCUAUUAAUUUAAAAAUGUACAAAUUUUCUCUAUAAGCAUUUUUACCACCCUACAAGUCCUGUUGCCUUCAGACAACAUUCGAAGUUCAAUCGUUCCAUUGUGGCUUAUUCAAUUCUUUCAUUGGUUGGGCCUACUAUUGGGAAUUUUGUGUACUACAAAAAAAAACUUCUGUAAAUUUAGGUGAAUUUCGGUAAAAGGUGAAUUUCGCUAAAUUUUGGUAAAUUUCGGUAAAUCUCGGUAAUUUUUGGCAACGUUCACUCGUUCAGUAAAAAGAUCUCAAUAAGGCCAUCUUCAUUGGUAAAUGAAUUUACAUCAGACUUUUACAAAAACAUCCACCAUGCAACAGCCAAAAAAUAUUCACAAUGCACUCUGUUGUUGCAAUUGAAACUGGUUGAAUCAAUUGUAUUACGAAAGUAAAAAAAAACCGGAAGUAAACAAUUUUAUUAAUUGCAAGUUUUGUAUAAAAUUUAAUUUUAAUCAUCACAGUAGAUUGCAAAUCGAAUUAGUGAUAAAACUUUGCAUUUUUUUAUUGAAAAAAAGGAGUUUCGUGUUUGUUUUUAGAAUUUUCAUUUUUUUUCUAACCAAAGAUAUUUGAUAGGAAAUCGUUUUUGAUUUUUGUUUUAUUUUUAUUUUGUUGGUUUUGACAAAUUAUUUUUUAUUUAUUUACAAUGAUUUUUUGAUAUUAUUUUCCAAUAAAAUCGAUCUGUUUUGAUAGACUGAAAAUUGAAAAGAAAAAUUAAUUAAAUUUUCUUUUUCGAGUGUGUGUGUAAAUAUAUUAUGGAUAAGGAUAAGUCAAAGAUCUUUUGUUUCGUAGGCUCGUUUUUUAAAAGAAAUUACAAAAAUGAAGAGAUAAAAUGAGAGACAAGUUUUGAGCGUGUGGUUUUUUCGUUCAUUUUGAAAUUAAUUAUAAAAAGUAAAUUUUAAACAACACAAGGGAAAAGAAGUUUGUUUAUAUUGUUAAAUGAAAUAAAUUUAAAUGAAUGAAAAAUUGCAUUUACACACUAAAGACAAAAGGGACAUUUAAGCAUAAAAAUAGAAUUUGAAAUAAAAGGAAAAAUUUAAACAAAAAAAAUGAUAAAGUAAAUUGUAAAUCGUAGAGAUUAUAUUAUUAUUAUUAUGAUUAUUAUAUUCAGAAAAAAGAAAAGGAAAAAAUCAUUAAUUAAAUAAAUAUAUAAGACUAUAUUCAAAAUACGUACACGAUGAAAGCAAGUUAAUUCAUAAGAUUUCAUUGUUUUCUUUUUCGAUAAAAUGCUUUGGGUCAGAGAGUGAAUGAGAGGGGGACGAGUGAAAUUUCAAAGCGAAAUUAAAUUUCAGGAUCUUCUUCCCCUUGUUUCCACAUUCCGUUUAUAGGAAAUUUGCAACAAUAUGAAAAUGGUUCACAGAAUAAUUAGCUCACAUGAGUUAGUUUGUCACUUUACCUGACUCCAAAUAGACAAGUUACAAUUGAAAGUGGCCCGUCAAGAAGUGGGAAGUGUCAAACGGGCACCAGACACUACUAAAAAUGGAAAUAACGUUACAAUUACGUAGAUUAUUGUACUCGUUGUAGUUCAAGACGAAUACAUUUCCAUCAAUUUGUCAGAUUCUGCAUAUGCUUUAAUCAGCUUUCUUUGAGUGUGCAAAAUUCCAGUGUCCUAUUAAUUAGCAAAGCUAGCAAAAACUGCUAAAAACUAAUUUUUGUUACACUGACAGUACGAAUCUGCAUAUGAUUUGAAUCUAUUACUUCAUUUCUUAAAAGUGCUUGUAUUAUGAAGAUUCAUAGAUUGAUACCAAAUCUGUUACUUCAUUAAUUUUACAAUAUUUAAUAAGUUUGUUCUAUACACAUUCAUAGAUAAUAAUUUUUAUUCAAAUUUUUCGACGGUGGUAAUGUUCCCAAAAUAGAGGCUACAUUACCGCGUUGUAUUGCCAAACUUAUUCUUUGAAUGAAAUAGCUGGUCGCUCGCUUUUCAUGUGUUUUUUCAGAUAUCUUAGAACCAAUUAAUUUCUUAAACAAGUCCAAAGCCAAUUUGCCAAACGCGCCAGAUGUCUCCGUUGCCACUGGAACAAAUACAAAUUAGUCUCUUAAGUUCGCAUAGUGAUCGAAUUUCCGAGUUUCUGCUUGUUUAGCUGCCCAACCCAAUUGACGUGCCGUUUUGUUAACGUAUUACAUUUCAUUUGUAAUAUAAGAUCUCAUUAGCCGAAGCUAACCAUUUUUUAUGGUCAUCGUUGUCAACAACAUAUGACAUAGGUAUCACAGUAAUCUGUCGAGUUUUUGAUGCCAAAACAAGUCAAAGUGCUACCCUUAAAAUCUUGUCUUGUUUAAUACUUAUUAACUGUGAAUGAUCAAUAAACUGAACUCAUCAAAAAGUUCUACUUUUCGUGGGUUUCUUUCGUUCCACAUGCAUUCCAUCACUUGUCUUCACAUUUCUUCAAUUGACACGUACGGGUAAGUGACAUGACUCUCUUUAUGAUUCGUUUGUUCGCAAUAUGUGGAAAAAUGUAGGCCGAACAGAGAAACGAAACCCGCGAAAAGUAAAACCUUAUGAUGAGUUCAGUUUAAUUGAUUUCUUUGUUGUCUAAUGCUGUUUAUUGAAUUUAUUUUAAAAAUGAAUUCAUAUUUUACAAAUUAUUGAAGAUCUCUGGCAUGUCAGAAAUCAUUUUCCACAACGUACAAGACAUUGCAGUUAAUAAUAUGGUCGGAAGUUUGGUCGGCCAAAUUGCGUAAUGGACCUAUUGGACUGUUCCUGAUACUAUCCGGUUUAGGUGUUUAUACAACAGGUCAUAAAAAGUCAAUGUUCUGAAGUUUGUUACAUAGACCUGUCUGGUAGUUGACUUUAUUGAAAUGGGAGUUAAGUCUGUCCACGGCUUGUUUCUGGCUACUACAUCUAUAAUGCUUCACGGUUCAGGAAGCUAUUGUUUCUGAUUUAUGCGAUAUGUUUGCAUCCAGCUGACAUUCACACAACAACGUGACGCUAUUAUUGGUCCCCGAAACCCGAAAAACUCACAGACCUCUCUGCACUCAAAUCAUAAUUUUGUUUCGGAUAUUUUUUUGUUUGGUAAUAUACUUUUAAAAUUUAAAACAAAAAAAAAAAAAAACAUAAAAUAUAUUUAUAUAUAAAUUCAUAUUAAUAUACAAGUGCUUCUUAAACAUAUAUUUAUUACAAAGGAAAAAAAUAAACAAAUUCGCUUAGUAGUUAUAUGAUUAGAAAAGUAGUGAGUUUUGAUGUGUAGAAAACAAGAAAAAAGAAAUUAUUAAUUAUCAAUAAAAAAUCUAUAUAAAGAAAGAAAGAAAAAAAUUAAGAAAAACAUUUAUUUCCGGUUUGUUUAACAUUUGGAUGUUUAAAAAAGUUUUUUAUUUUAAAACGCAAGAUCUAUCUUUGAAUUGAAAACAACAAAAAGAAAAAUGAAACCAAGCAGAUUUUUAUCUCACUCAAUAACCGAUUAAACAACAGAAUAUUUAUAAUAUAAACUAUUUACAUGCUCUUUUUUAAUCGAAACGAUUUAUAAAAAAAAUUAAAAACAAGAAAAGAAAAUUAAUUAUUAAAAAGUAAAAUACACUAAAAAAAAUAUUUAAAGAAAAAAAAACAUUAAAGAAAGUACUAACAUUUAAACACUUGAUAAUGAAAAAAGUAGCAUCUCACUCCUUUACAACUUACACUUAAAAUAAAAAGUAAAAGAAAAACAAACAACAAAAAUGAUAUUAAAAAGUGCAUGAAAUGAAAGUUUAUGAACUCUAUAAAUUCUUCUUUAGAAAAACCGACGAACUCUUAAAAUCUUUCACGAAUACAAGAAAGUUUAAACCAAAAAAAUGAUUUCCAUUUAAAUUUCAACUAAACCACCAAAGUGAUAGUAGAUUUAGAUUACGUAACCCGCCAGGAAUGAAGUUAUUCAGUUAUUCAGUGUUUAAGGGGAACAUGGCGUUGAACCCGUUCUGUCAAUAUUCCACUUAAACACUGCGCUAUAGCUUACUAUAUAGUAAGUUCUUUUGUUUCGAUACAUAUAUGUUACACCGAGAUCACACUAACAUCGUCUACGGUUGCCAUUGAGCUGGACGCGUGUUUGUUUGAUUGUGGUUGGUGCAAUAGCUUAGCCUUUAAAUGUGACACACUGUAACUCUACUAUUUAAGGUCGACUCUGGGCAACUUCACAUCGCUAAGGACUAUAGUUGCGUUAUGUGACGUUCCAGUCCGUGUCGACGAAUAGGAUUUUGUGAUCUUACUUUCCAAAAAAGAAGCCAAGCAACACACUUCAAGCCCGAGUAGUUCUCUAAAUAGAGUACUGAAACUGGACAAUGUACCAGUACCAUAGAAAUUGUGACACUGUAAGAGAAUGUGGAAAAAAUGUUUAUCCUAAAUGGUACUCUGUUUGGUCACUCAUGCUCAUUUUUUCAGCUGCUUUACACAGUUGAAAGUAUCGGAAACGAGUGAAAUAAUUUUCUUCUCAAGUCGACUGUGCGUCCCCUAGGGGAAUAAAAAGUUCAUAAUUCCCAUUUUCCAAUGGAUUUUUUCCAUACGAGGACUAAAAUAUUUCUUUAUGUGAGUCGUAAAUCGUACUUUUCAUGCUUUAAGCACUACUUUACACGCCCUCGGCUUGAAAAAUCCAUUAGAGAACUCGGUAUAAAAAUAAAAAGUCAUAUUUUCGUGUGUUUAUUGAACUUGGUAACGCCUCGGAUCAACAAAAAAAGGAAGUACCGAGCAUUUAUGUAACAAGUUGUGUAUGACGUUGAUGCUUGAUGGUUGUGCAGCAAACAGAAUGCUUUCUAAACUCGCCUUUUUCGGCAUAUAUUUGCAAUCUUUACAUCUAGUCGGUGAAACGGAAACUUUUUUUUUUGCAAAAUUGUGUUUUGGUAAUAUGCAACGUUUUGACAGUAAUAAUAUAAAACUUACUGCAAAAAGAUAAAAAAUGUUCCUUUUCAUUUGUAGUUCUACGAUUUUCGGAAGAAAAUUAGAAAUAUUUCGUUUGUGGUAAAGAGAUCGUUUUAAGCUUUCGAUCUGUUAAAUGAAUGAAACACGAAAAAGUUACCAUUAUUUGUGAGUAUUCGUCCAAAUUGGCAGCAAUUUUCUAUUUCGAAUAUUUUUUUAAAAUUAUUAUUAUUUUGAAACAACGACGAGCAUUAUACAAAAUGUCAAUUUAAACUCGAUGUGUAGACAUAAAUAUAUAAAAUGAAAAUAUUUAUUUACACGCGACGAGUGAUUUCAUCAGCCAUUCUCAUUAAAAUAAAAAUCAUUUGUGCAGUUUUGAUAAACACACACAAAAAACAAUUUGUUUUCAUGUUACAUUAUUUUCCUUCUCAAAUUGAUAUUAAUAUACAACAAAGACUGGUUUUUAUGACAAUUUUUUUAUUUGAGAAAUAUUUUCUUUUUUUAUGUAAAUUUGAAUUCCUUUCUAAGAAUGUAAAUGAAUAUUGUAAUUUGGUACCUUAUUUUUAAAGACAAAGAAAUAUUCACGUACACUGAAAAACUCGGCAAUUAGAUAAAAUGUAACCAUUAAAAUAAUAACUAAAUUAGACGCUAGGUACAAAAGUUUUGACGACAAAAUAUUACAGAAAGAAAAAACACAAAUCGGAUACGAAUCUGUUGAAAAGCAUUCCAAUUUUCCCAGUUGCCAUUUACACUUCAAACAGUUUUCCAUAUUUCCAGAGAUUUUCCCUUAAAAGCAAUGACUACCUGCGCUUGGGCUUAGCGUUAUCGUUUCAGUUUUACAUUUUCAGCUUCUUCCUCGAUCAUAAAAACCAUUUUGAGGCAAUUUCGGGCAAUUUAUAGUAAAGUUCUAACAUAGAAUCUUCGUUUCAAUUUUCGCUCGUUUUGACAACACAGAUUGUUGCACUGCUAUUCGUAUAAAGCAUUUACACAAACAUAUUAGACUGUUCCAAGGUUAUUUUAAAUGUCAAAAUGUCAUCCACAGACGACAUAACCAAGAAAUAUUGUGUGUUCACAAAAUUUUUGAGGUUAUGGGUUUCACUCGGCUGUUUUCAGCCUUUCAAAAAUCGUUUUUACAGUACGGUACAACCGACCCAUAGAUCAAGUCCCAGGUUAUUCGAAAUGUCAAAUCAUCUACAAAGAACUAAAGGCCAGGUUAAGGCGCCUUACAUCGGAAUAUAAGCAUUGUGCGAUAGUAAACGCGAGCCUUAACCUGAAAAUGUGAACACUUUGUUCGCGUUUGAAAAUAGAAACAAGUGUUGAAUGGUUUUCUUGUAAAAUAAUGAGCUUGAACACUUAAGCAUCUUGAGUAAUUUUAUAUAUUUUCACAGAGUUGAGGUUUGUAGCUGUCAGUGUUCGGGUUCGGGAUUACAGUUACUCGGACUUGAUCUAUACACAAGGCAUAUGAUUUUUCCAUUCAUUGUGCUGAUAAUUUUUCUCUCUCUUUCCAACUCUUACUCUGAUUAGUCUAUUUACCUUAAUGUGUAAAACACAAUUUCAAUGAAAAUUAAAUUUCCAGGCUCAAGAAAUCAUUGCUCUUGACAAAAGACAUACAAUUUUUGCCGUAACGUACGACUUUAUUCUAUUUCACAAUGAUCUAUUUAGAACCUUAAAUCGACAUAUUAACUACGAUUCGCCAAAGUUAUCCAUCCAAAAUUAGCAUAAAUUUGAAAUUAUUUCGUUAUUCACCUCUGCUGAAUUAAAAAAAACCAAGAAAAGAAAAAGAAAAUCAAAUUAUAUGUCCCGGGAAAUGGUGGAAUUAAAAUCAAAGACAUAAUCAAUCUUUCAACAAUCCUUCGGAAUAAUAAAAUUAAUAAGAAAUACAAUAAAAGAAGAUCUAGUCACAACUUACACCUCUUCAAAAGUUAAAAAAAUAAUUUAAAAAAAAAACAAAACAGGACAUUUUUUCAGUGAUCGUUUGAUUCUAAAUUUAGUACAUGCUCAUCACACACGUAUUUUAAUACACACUUUUUCUUUGCGCACCAAACUUUAGAACCGAUUUUUACAAAUUCAACUUGUACAUAGAUACAUUAACUAAAGAAAAAAAAACUAUUUAUUAUUAUUAUGAAAAUAAUGUAAUAAAAAAACACUAAAGAAACAAAAGAAAAAACUGAAGCAAAUAGAACAUCAUUAUAUAAAUUAUACAUAAAAAAUAAAUAAAUAAAAAAAAUAAAUUAAAAAAAUUCAAAGUUUUAAAUUAUUUAAAAGUAAGCCUUUGCUAUUACAUUACAUUACAUUUAUAUAAAUUAUAUAUUAUAUUAAACAAACAAACAAAAGUUUAAAUUAUACUUAGUAUUAAAUAGCGAAAAAAGAAGAAAACAAACAAACAAACUAAAAUGGAUUGAGAAGCAUUAAAAAAUAUUUUACUUUAGAGUCCAUUUUUUUAACAAACAAAAAAUAUUUCGAUUUUUGACGCACAACAGAAGAUUCAAAAAAAAUUUUAUACAAAAAAAGAAGAGAAUUCAAAAAAUAAUUGUAACUUAAAAAGCAAUUUUGUACCAUUUUACCAAGGAAAGACGGACGAAAAUUAUUACCACAAUUUUUGUGUAAUGAAUUCGCUAAGUUCUUUUUUUCGGGCUACAUCAAACAUCUAUAUUCAGCUUUCAAUCCCACUGAUUUUAAUUAUAUAUUACUGAUGAGUGGAUGUGUCUUGUUUAUUAAUUAAAAAAAAGAGGGGAGGGAUUCAUUUUAACCGAUUUUCCUAUUUCCAAACAUGAAUACGAUGGGCGUUUUUUGUUUUUAUUUUCCCCCUGAUUCAAACGAAAUUUGUCGAAAAGUCGAAAUUUUUUUUUGAUUAUAACUCUCAUUAUAAUGAUAAAGAAUGAAAGAAAGAAAAAUGAAAACACAAAAAAAAACUAUUUAAAAAGAAAGUAAAUUAAAUUUGAAAAUAUUAAUAAGAAUUAUCAUUAGAAAAUGUAAGAUCUUUGCAUUAGAAAUAAAUAAUAGAAUAAAUUACCAAAA